GCGGGGGUGGCGAAAUGGCAGACGCGCUGGAUUUAGGUUCCAGUGGGGCAACCCGUGCGGGUUCGAGUCCCGCCCUCCGCACCA
rnacentral:tRNA from 1 species